CACUCCCUAGUUGCUGGGGAGAGAGAGUGGGCUUUUUGAAUUAGUUCUGUGCUAGAAGGCUUGGCUGUGGCCUAACCAAAGGCUUUUUAGGGUAGGUAGCUCUGGUGUGGGUUCUUUUGCCCCCUAUAACUCAUUUGGGGGCCCUGUUUUGGGAGUGGCAGAGGUGUCAGCACAAGAAGAGACUGAGAGAAAGGCCUUGUUAUGGGCCCUGGUAGGAAACAGCCUGGGGCAUAGCAAAGGGGAUGAACAAACUGACUUUAACUGCUUGGCACAGGGUCCCUGUGCUGGCACCUAGAGGGGAGGCUGGGCCUGAGUUCCCUUACUGACCCACCUAGGAUGGUGGUGUGAAGACCCCCAGAGUCAAAGGCUGCAGGGCCCCCAAAGCCAGAAAGGUGGGCUGAAGCUCUGGCAUGAUGCUGUCAGGUUAUUGGUGUGUGUUGGACUCCAUUUACCCUGAAUGGAGAAGGACUAACAGUGAGCUGGACAGAUAGCUAAGUCACAGAAAGAAGCAGCCCAUGGUAAUAAAGGAGCGAGGGUUGGCAGGCCCUACCAAAGGAGAAGCUGCUGCUGUGCCAUGCCCAGCCGUGAGGGGAUGCAUGUGUCUGUGCCACGGCGAAUGCAUCAGCCAGGCUGUCCAGGACAGGACUGCUAUUACUGAUGACAGGCUGACCAACUUGAGAUGUGGUGGGGGAGACUCGGGAUAAGAUGUUUGCUGAAGUUAUGGCAGAGUCACAGAAGAUAGCCAGGCUUGUUGAGGGGCGGAGGAUGUCCGUAUGGUCCCAGACUGAGAAAGAAAGCUGUCUCAGGUGAUUGUUGCAGUGGCCAAGGAAAGCAUGGCUGUGGCUGAGGUCAGCAUCACCAUGGUGAAGGAGUGGGGGGUAGGAAGGAGAGAUGCAGAGGCAA